AUUGAACGCUGGCGGCAGGCCUAACACAUGCAAGUCGAACGGUAACAGGAAGAAGCUUGCUUCUUUGCUGACGAGUGGCGGACGGGUGAGUAAUGUCUGGGAAACUGCCUGAUGGAGGGGGAUAACUACUGGAAACGGUAGCUAAUACCGCAUAACGUCGCAAGACCAAGGAGGGGGACCUUCGGGCCUCUUGCCAUCGGAUGUGCCCAGAUGGGAUUAGCUAGUAGGUGGGGUAACGGCUCACCUAGGCGACGAUCCCUAGCUGGUCUGAGAGGAUGACCAGCCACACUGGGACUGAGACACGGUCCAGACUCCUACGGGAGGCAGCAGUGGGGAAUAUUGCACAAUGGGCGCAAGCCUGAUGCAGCCAUGCCGCGUGUAUGAAGAAGGCCUUCGGGUUGUAAAGUACUUUCAGCGGGGAGGAAGGGAGUAAAGUUAAUACCUUUGCUCAUUGACGUUACCCGCAGAAGAAGCACCGGCUAACUCCGUG
rnacentral:rRNA from 1 species